rnacentral:rRNA from 1 species
AUUGAACGCUGGCGGCAUGCCUUACACAUGCAAGUCGAACGGCAGCACGGGCUUCGUCCUUGCGGCGAGUGGCGAACGGGUGAGUAAUGCAUCGGAACGUGCCCAGUAGUGGGGGAUAGGCCGGCGAAAGCCGGAUUAAUACCGCAUACGACCUGAGGGUGAAAGCGGGGGACCGAAAGACCUCGCGCUAUUGGAGCGGCCGAUGUCGGAUUAGCUAGUUGGUGGGGUAAAGGCUUACCAAGGCGACGAUCCGUAGCUGGUCUGAGAGGACGACCAGCCACACUGGGACUGAGACACGGCCCAGACUCCUACGGGAGGCAGCAGUGGGGAAUUUUGGACAAUGGGGGCAACCCUGAUCCAGCCAUGCCGCGUGCGGGAAGAAGGCCUUCGGGUUGUAAACCGCUUUUGUUCGGGAAGAAAUCCUCUGGGCUAAUACCCCGGGGGGAUGACGGUACCGGAAGAAUAAGCACCGGCUAACUACGUG